rnacentral:ncRNA from 1 species
CUUUGACACUUGGGGUGCCCUGUUUACUUGUAAACUUGUGCUGAGAUUAUACCCAUUGAACGGAUCUGUUUAAUUACAGCGCACGGAUGAUGUCAUUUUUGUAUU